rnacentral:rRNA from 1 species
CCCCUAGACGUUCUGGGCUGCACGCGCGCUACAAUAAUACGCACAGCGAGUAUCACCAAGCUCGAUAGGGCAAGGUAAACAACAGAAAGGGUACUGUAAUGGUUAUAGAUCCUUGUAAUUAUUGAUCUUCAACGAGGAAUUCCUAGUAAGUUUGUGUCAUCAUCACGCACUGAUUACGUCCCUGCCCUUUGUACACACCGCCCGUCGCUACUACCGAUUGAACGGUUUAGUGAGGGCCUCGGAUUGGUCUCGGCCCGCUCUUUACCGGGCGGCGCCGUUGGUCGAGAAGACGCUCGAACUUGAUCGUUUAGAGGAAGUAAAAGUCGUAACA